AAAAAUUAUCGGGGAAAGAAGACCCUGUUGAGCUUGACUCUAGUCUGGCACUGUAAGGAGACAUGAAAGAUGUAGCAUAAGUGGGAGAUGGCAACAUUGCCAGUGAAAUACCACUACUUUUAUCGUUUCCUUACUUACUCGGUUAGGCGGAGCGCGUGCCCCGAGGGCCUCGUGCCCCGGCGGUCACGGUGUUCUAGAGUCAAGCGUGUCAGAGUGGCGAGAGGCCUCGGCCGAUUAAUACUCCCGCGUAAUCCGAUUCGAGGACACUGCCAGGCGGGGAAUUUGACUGGGGCGAUACAUCUCUCAAAGAAUAACGCAGGUAUCCUAAGGCCAGCUCAGAAGGCGAGGACAGAAACUUUGCGUAGAGCAAAAGGGCAAAAGCUGGCUUGAUCUUGAUGUUCAGUGUGCAUAAAGACUGCGAAAGCACGGCCUAUCGAUCUUUUUGGCUUAAAGAGUUUACAGCGAGAGGUGUCAGAAAAGUUACCACAAGGAUAACUGACUUGUGGCGGCCAAGCGUUCAUAGCGACGUCGCUUUUUGAUCCUUCGAUGCCGGCUCUUCCCGUCAUUGCGAAGCAGAAUUUACCAAGCGUCGAAUUGUUCACCCGCCAAUAGGAAACGUGAGCUGGGUUUAGACCAUCGUGAGACAAGUUAGUUUUACCCUACUGAUGACUAGUCAUUGCGAUAGUAAUCCUGCUCAGUACGAAAGAAACCGCAGGUUCGGACAUUUGGUUUACGUACUCGGUCGAGCGGCCGGUGGUGCGAAGCUACCAUCCAUGGAAUUAUGCCUGAACGCCUCUAAGGCCGUAUCCUCUCUAGUCAAAGGUGGCAAUGAUAUCUCUAGGAGUCUUGUAAGUCGAAAGGCUCAAAACAAUGUGACACUACUAGGCGGCCGGUUACCUUUCGCGGGGUGGACCAAUCGUCGCACGAGCCCGGUUUGCCGUACGGCGUCAUCGUCCGUCGUCGGAAUCUCACUGCUUACGAGGGCGCGGCGUCUAACGGUCGAACAUGAGUUUCGCGUCGAGUUCAAUGUCGAGACUGGAAUCGUCUGUAGACGACUUAGGUACCUGCUGGGGUGUUGUACUCGGUAGAGCAGUUACCACGCUGCGAUCUGUUGAGACUCAGCCCUCGGCUUGGGGAUUC
rnacentral:ncRNA from 1 species